AUUGAACGCUGGCGGCAGGCCUAACACAUGCAAGUCGAACGAGUGGCGGACGGGUGGGUAAGGUCUGGGAAACUUACCGGUGGAGGGGGAUAACUACUGGAAACGGUAGCUAAUACCGCAUACCAUCGGCGGUGCCCAGAUGGGAUUAGCUAGUGGGUGGGGUAACGGCUCACCUAGGCGACGAUCCGUAGCGGGUCUGAGAGGAUGACCAGCCACACUGGGACUGAGACACGGUCCAGACUCCUACGGGAGGCAGCAGUGGGGAAUAUUGCACAAUGGGGGCAAGCCUGAUUCAGCCAUGCCGCGUGUAUGAAGAAGGCCUUCGGGUUGUAAAGCACUUUCGGCGGGGAGGCGUUACUCGCAGAAGAAGCACCGGCUAACUCCGUGCCAGCAGCCGCGGUAAUAC
rnacentral:rRNA from 1 species